AACGUAGGUGGCUAGCGUUGCCCGGAAUCACUGGGCGUAAAGCGGGUGUAGGCGGUUCUUUAAGUCGGCUGUGAAAUCCAGCGGCCCAACCGCUGAAUUGCAUCCGAUACUGGGGAACUUGAGGACGGUAGAGGUCGGUGGAAUUCCCGGUGUACCGGUGAAAUGGACAGAUAUCGGGAGGAACACCGGUGGCGAAGGCGGUUCUCUGGGAAUGUCCUGACGCUGAGGAGCGAAAGUGUGGGGAGCGAACAGG
rnacentral:rRNA from 1 species